AUGCACGCUGGCGGCGUGCCUAAUACCUGCAAGUCGAGCGAACGGACGAGAAGCUUGCUUCUCUGAUGUUAGCGGCGGACGGGUGAGUAACACGUGGAUAACCUACCUAUAAGACUGGGAUAACUUCGGGAAACCGUAGCUAAUACCGGAUAAUAUUUUGAACCGCAUGGUUCAAAAGUGAAAGACGGUCUUGCUGUCACUUAUAGAUGGAUCCGCGCUGCAUUAGCUAGUUGGUAAGGUAACGGCUUACCAAGGCAACGAUGCAUAGCCGACCUGAGAGGGUGAUUGGCCACACUGGAACUGAGACACGGUCCAGACUCCUACGGGAGGCAGCAGUAGGGAAUCUUCCGCAAUGGGCGAAAGCCUGACGGAGCAACGCCGCGUGAGUGAUGAAGGUCUUCGGAUCGUAAAACUCUGUUAUUAGGGAAGAACAUAUGUGUAAGUAACUGUGCACAUCUUGACGGUACCUAAUCAGAAAGCCACGGCUAACUACGUG
rnacentral:rRNA from 1 species